ACGAACGCUGGCGGCGUGCUUAACACAUGCAAGUCGAGCGGAAAGGCCCUUCGGGGUACUCGAGCGGCGAACGGGUGAGUAACACGUGAGUAACCUGCCCCAGACUUUGGGAUAACCCUCGGAAACGGGGGCUAAUACCGGAUACGACACAGCUUCGCAUGGGGUCUGUGUGGAAAGUUUUUCGGUUUGGGAUGGGCUCGCGGCCUAUCAGCUUGUUGGUGGGGUGAUGGCCUACCAAGGCGACGACGGGUAGCCGGCCUGAGAGGGCGACCGGCCACACUGGGACUGAGACACGGACCAGACUCCUACGGGAGGCAGCAGGGGGGAAUAUUGCACAAUGGGCGGAAGCCUGAUGCAGCGACGCCGCGUGAGGGAUGACGGCCUUCGGGUUGUAAACCUCUUUCAGCAGGGACGAAGCGUAAGUGACGGUACCUGCAGAAGAAGCGCCGGCCAACUACGUG
rnacentral:rRNA from 1 species